rnacentral:rRNA from 1 species
GGUGAACGCUGGCGGCGUGCCUAAUACAUGCAAGUCGAACGAAACUUCUUUAUCACCGAGUGCUUGCACUCACCGAUAAAGAGUUGAGUGGCGAACGGGUGAGUAACACGUGGGCAACCUGCCCAAAAGAGGGGGAUAACACUUGGAAACAGGUGCUAAUACCGCAUAACCAUAGUUACCGCAUGGUAACUAUGUAAAAGGUGGCUAUACUACCGCUUUUGGAUGGGCCCGCGGCGCAUUAGCUAGUUGGUAGGGUAAAGGCUUACCAAGGCAAUGAUGCGUAGCCGAAUUGAGAGGUUGAUCGGCCACAUUGGGACUGAGACACGGCCCAAACUCCUACGGGAGGCAGCAGUAGGGAAUCUUCCACAAUGGGCGAAAGCCUGAUGGAGCAACGCCGCGUGGGUGAAGAAGGUCUUCGGAUCGUAAAACCCUGUUGUUAGAGAAGAAAGUGCGUGAGAGUAACUGUUCACGUUUCGACGGUAUCUAACCAGAAAGCCACGGCUAACUACGUG